CAAUAUAUUUGGAAUCUUUCAGAAAAGAAUAUCCUCAUUCUUUUUGGCUGUAAACUAUUCUUACAUUUACACAAUUCUUACACUUACAUAAUUCUUAAAUUUACACAAUGAAAAUAAUAUACUGCUACACUAAGUGAAACUAAAUUAUCAACCACAAAGCAAUUAAGAAAAUAAAGCUGAGUUAUGAGAUCACUUGCUUACUAUCAUUGGGUAUAAAAUAGAUUUUUGGUACUUCGGUGUUUUGGGCUGCCUUGUCACAAAAUAUAUAUGCUUUGAUCAGAAAGUUUAAACUUUCUUCCAAGUGUACUCAUAUUUGCCAGAAACCUUUGGAGACAAAGA